GAUAUAUUACAACGUAAUACUGAUUCUCAGGUACAUGCUCGUGGUAACCAUGCUUUUACUAAAAGGCCUGACGAUUUUCUUGAAGUGCCAAAGAACUCUCAGUUGGCUUAUUGUUCAAAUUCUGAGAAUUCAAGUCUUCUUCCACAAUGGCGAAAUCCAACGUUGAGAACAAGGAGAAUGAAACAGAUGAACAAGUGGCUCGAUUAACAAAGAAAAGCCAGGAAGUUCUGCAUCUUAAAGACGAGUUUAAAACUGCGAAUGAUUUGAAAAAAAAUCAUUCUUUGACAACAUCUUUGCAAUCAGGGCGAUAUUUUUAAUCAUAUUGUUUUGCCGUAAUGUACAAUCCCUUCCUUUUCCUUUUUAUGCACAGACAAGCAAGCAGUUUAAACCUGUUGCACAAUUCACGUUUCCCCAAAAAAAAUUCUUGGAAAUCGUGACGUAAAUUUUGUGGAAAAACGUCGGAAACAAUUGGAAAAUUACUUGAGAAAAUUGAUCAAUUAUAGUCUGGGUGCUGUUCCAGAGUUAGGUGAAAAUCCUUGCAAGAGUUCUUUGUUCAAAUACUUUCCAUUUUUCAUGCAAACUUCAACGGUAUCAUCUGUUUCAACGACGACAACAACAAAACAAACUGUUCCUUCUACACAUAAUGGUUAAAAGGUAAAACUUGUAGGAUGUCUGUCAAAAAAAACAGAGCAUGGAAAUUGUAUAACUUUUAUUGUAUAUAUAUAACAUACGUAUAGUUCAGUAUAUGUAAAUAUAAUAUGUCUACAAAGUAGAAGAAUUUACUGAUGCAUCAACUUCAAGGACUCUUUAUUGUAUGUGUUAUAUACAGAUAUAAUUUGCCAGUAUUUGCUACUAUAUAAUAGUACAUCAUACUGGGUUUUAACAAGUUAAAACAUAAUAUUUAACUUGAAAUGAAAGCAAUCGUAUUUUAAAUACAUCACACGAAACCUA